GGCUUGGUGGGGAAUAUUGCACAAUGGGGGAAACCCUGAUGCAGCCAUGCCGCGUGUGUGAAGAAGGCCUUCGGGUUGUAAAGCACUUUCAGUAGGGAGGAUAGGGUGAGUCUUAAUACCGCUCAUCUGUGACGUUACCUACAGAAGAAGGACCGGCUAACUCCGUGCCAGCAGCCGCGGUAAUAAU
rnacentral:rRNA from 1 species